GGGUGAUCUGGCUGUGACAUCUGUUACCCCAUUGAUCACCAGUGUUGAUUUGGCUGAUCUGGUUGGCAAGGCCUCUCCACAUGCAUCUCUUCCAAAGUUGCACUCUUGGACCAAAAGGAUGUUCAUUCCCAUAGAGAAGGCCCGUUCUUCAGUCAAGAGUAUAUGAGUAGUUGCGCUCCCUGCUAGAACCUCCAAACAAGCCCUCAAGAAGGCCCUGAGAUCCAUAUCUAGAUGGCUGGCCCUAAAAAGAAACUGUUGGAUAUAUAUUCAUCUAUCCAUCCAU
rnacentral:snRNA from 1 species